CCUCUGACGUCGUCAUAUGAUUGGCCGUCUGUCACCACGAUGAGAAAGUUGCGACCUGGUCCUGUUCGCCUGGUGGAGAAAAAACAAAUCUUUAAUUUAAAACCAUUUUCCUCCUCCAGACACAAUGAAUCUGGCUGAGACAAACCCAUAAACUGCCCUUAGGUGUGAAUGUUCUGGGUGGUGUAAGUGAUGGCUGCUCCAGUGGCCGUUCCUCCGCUCAUGUAGGGGAUCCUCUUCAGAGCUUUGACGGCAUCGUCUUUGUUAGAGUGGUCAAACAGGCCGAACUCCAGCUGCUGAUCAUAGCUGACCGAUGCGAGAGCCCACGUCUGAGACGUCGAAACUUCUGGCGAUUCCAGCCACGAAGUCCAGGACCAGCUGGAAGUUUCCAUCUCCGACGCUGGAUGAGCCGUCGAUGAGGAAGCCGAUGUUCACAGAGUUGUAGCAGGUUUUACCUUU